rnacentral:lncRNA from 1 species
CUUUCGUAACGUUCGGUUGUGUGACAGUUCAGUGUGGAAGUGAUAAUUCAAAAAAAACGCAGGCGGCAAAAACAAAAUAGGAACUACAUAAUAGAGAAAAACAAGAAGAAGGACAAGGACCACACAGGACCAAA